ACACAUGAACAUAACGACGUCACAAGGGGAGAGUAAAACUAAACACAGGAACACAGGACCUCUUCAAAAUAAAACAGGAAACAUAAUGAGACGCAGACAUGAAACACAUGAAGGGCAAGGGAGACUUAACAGGGGUUGAAAACACAAGGGAACUAAUAUGCAAAUGAACAUAGGAAACCUAAUCAAUUUAAGUUUAUUUUAAAAUUAAUUUUUUAAAUUAUAUUAAAUUUAAGUCAAAUGGAAGUGUUUCUAAAGUCAUAUACUGCAAUGAUAUUUACAUUAUGAAAAGCUGAGUUUUACAUAUAAAAUAAAUUGACCAAAAUCAACUCAAAAUACUCUCACACACGACAGAACCUCCCCUUUUCCUCGCUGGCUCCGUUUCUCUGAAUAGAAUGAUCAGUUGUUUUCUAUCUGUCACUGUCAAAACACUCCACAAAUGCCGCGAAGGCUUCACUUCCUUAUAAACUACUGAAUCGCUUACGUUCCCAAUGAACCUUCGGACGUCACUGAUUACGUGACUCUGGCCAAACGAAUCAAGCCUUGACACAGUGCUUCUGAAGCAGUGUGUUGGGGUUUUUUUUGGCACACGCACCGGAGCGUCAACUUCAAGAGGGCCAUCACUAGUGCCAGGGAUUUGAGGGAAAUGUGUCAGAAAGACUCAGCUCUCUCUCUUUGUGGUCUCUCAAAAAGAGAUACCUUUUUGUGAAAGAGACCACACUUCUCUUACAAAGAGGUCUCUCGGGGAGGCACAGUAAGCAUACCUCCUCUUUCCCAGCAGCACUCCAAGUAACAGUCCUUAAAAAAAGAAAAGCAAAAGGACUGUAGAGGCAUAAAUCAGUUGCUCUGCUAACAUCUGUUUUUUAUUUUAUUUUAUUUUACUUUUAUUGACUGACUUUAAAUGAGCCCACGCCCACUCCAUCCUUCCCAGUAACUCCUCCCAAGGAAACAUUAAAAUAAAGGAGCUGUUCUCAGAUUCAGUGAAUAAACACAUCAACACGACGGUCUAAACAUCUGGAAAGUCCUGGAGGAAGAGAAUGGCUGGACUCAUCUGGAUUCUGCUUUCUGCGUGCCUGCUGGGUUGUACCUCUCAGGGUAAGCUGUGGUCUGUGUACCAACUUUAAUCAGUCUGCAUGAAGUUGUAGGCUGUAAUCAGUAAUAAAAGUUUUAGGUGGAGUUUGUUCCAUUAUCUCAAGUGUACAAUUACAAUUCAACCACACAAACCUGGAGUAAGUCAAAGUUAACUAAAUAAGGAAUUCAGGACUUUAGGAAUUACAGACAUUUUUAUACACAGUUCCUCAUUUUUCGAUGGAGGACUGUGUAUAAAAGUCGAUUCAUGGCCAGGUGAAGUCUGCUCCCUUGUUAUUUCGCUUCAGUUUGUUAACAGAUUAAAGUAAAAUUAAUUAACUGGACUGACUCAACCAUCACUCUUGGUUUGUGUUCAGCAGCAGAAAUGUGAAUUUCAGAGAUCAGAAGAUUAGAAUCAACAAUAAGAACUUUUAUACAUUUUAAUAAUGUAAUGUAAAAUGUAUCUCACCAGUGUAAGCUUUGUUUUGAUACCAAGAUUGUUUACAUGGACUUUUCUCCAUUCAUUUUGGGUUUGUCAUUUUCAAAGAGGAAGCUCAGGCAGCCUCGUUGGGCUUAACAGGAUAAACUUUAAUCACUGAACUUUUGGAAUAGGUGUUGGGAUGAAACUCCGAUAAUUAUAAAUGUACCAUGUGUGUUUUGGCAGUGCCAGGAGCUCUGCCAUCUACUGUCAUCUACAAGUAUUGUAUUGUACACAGGUAUGAAUAGACUCAUGAGCCACAAAAGAUUGAAGUGCAACCUGAUCGACAUUAUUAAUUUAAGGAAAAUAUGAAUCUAAUGAGGACUUAUGAACAACUGCUGUAGUCUGAUCCUGUGACGUGUCUCUUUCAUUGCUUGUUAUUUAGUAUAAAAAAAACACUUGCAUGUAAAACUCAUAAUCACAAUAAAAGAAUAAAAGCAGAAAUGUGAAAAUCAUCUUCAUCACUGUUGUUUCUGUUCUGGUUUCUUUCUUUCUGAAGAAGAAGAUCUUCGUACAUUUUUGAACAUCAAACAUUGAUUUCAUUGUGACACAUCUUCACCCUGCUAUAAAAAUCAGUCCCACAGGUGGGAAAUUUACAUUGCCUUCAACGUUCCAGCGAAUAGAGUUAAGCUACAAACCUAUCAGACCCCUCAGCAGAACUCUCUACAACAAGCAAAACUUCAUUAUUUACUAUUCUUUGCGUGAUCUAUUUUGAAGCGUGAUCAUCAUUUUUACAUCACUAAGUCACCAAGUUAUCUGGCAACUUUUAAAUGUUGGUAGUUGGAUGUGGACAUGUAAAAGCUGCAUUUUAGAAUUAUCUAGCAGAGUAAAGGUUGUCCCAUAAUGGCAAGCCCUGUUCUCAGAAUCAUCUUUGGGGAUGUGUCAGACUCCAGGAAAAUGCAUCUGGACUCUGGAAUUCCAGCAACAUUAUCAGAACUCCAUAUGUUGGUAAAGACAUUCUUCGAUUUGAAAGAAGACUUCCGUUUGCAGUACAUGGAUGAAGACUUUAAUGCAUUUAUGAACUUAACUUCAAUGUCUGAUGUAAAAGAUAAAGGCACACUGAAAGUGAUAUACAAUCCUAAACCCACACUUGAGGAACAAUUCAUCACUUUGUACCCAGUUGAGACGUCCACAAAGAGCAGUGUUUACACUUGCCAAGAAACCUCCAGCCCUGGGCCUUCUUUAGUUUCAUCCUGCAGUGAUGAUACCCUAUACACAUCAACCCCUCAUUCAUCACCAGCCGUUCAACCGACAAGACAGUUUUCCUGGCCCAAUGUGUUUGUGGUCCCAAAAUUCACAUAUGACGUGGAAUUGGAACUCCAGCAGAAAAAUGCAGAAUAUGAAGCAAAUGGCACACUCUUCAAGCCUGGCAUAAAACUGAAGGGAGUCAUCCUGAUUAGCUCAAGAAAUGCUGAAAUACACAAAAUAUCCUAAAGACUAUCAAUGUGAAGAGGUGGCAGCAGCACUGACAAGGACCCAUCCUUGUUUAGGGCAGCUAGGAUCUCAGACAGGAUUUUGGGGAUGGAAGCAAUCUCUGAAGUACAAAAUGCAAAACUAUCGAACAAAGCUUGGGCGGCUUGGUGAUCCUGAAAUCCUUGUGAAUUCUUUAAAGCACAAACGAGAAGGCCAAGGAAAAACUGCUGCCAACAUCAAAAAACCAAGAAAGGCAGAGGUCUAUUAUGUCCCUUUACCCCCAAAAGGUGAAAGCACUGAAAGCUUGGAAACUGAAAGAGUGGCUGUACUCUCAGAAAUCAAAAAGCGGGACAAUGAAGCAGUGAUAAAAGCAAAAAUGGAAAGAACCUUCUCCCAUAGACGACUAGAGAUUGUGGAACAGAGGCCGAUGAUCAGAGAUUUCAUGAACAGAUGGCCUGCCCUUUUCAAGAAAAGUGAAGUGAAUGCAGAGUUCCUGCGGAUCACUACAAAACCCCUGCAGGCGAAGUUCUUGGCUCAGCUGGACAAUCUAACAGACAAGCUGAUGCAAAUUUUUGAGGGGAGCAAAGGAGCAAAGGGCCAAAAGAUCAAGGAUAUCAUGGCAAUCAGUAGUUUGUGUGAUGACAUCGACAUAAAGAGGGAGCAUACUCUUAAAAGCCUGGUGAUCUACUUUAAUGAAGAUUCAGACCUACUGUUCAAGGAGUAUCUGGUACGCUUAUCACACUUUAUUUUCUAGCUUCAAUUUGAGUUAGGUUCAUCGCACGCAAAAUGCUCAUAUAUUCAAAUAAGACAAUAUAAUUGUGAAAUAUGUAUUAUUCUUAAUAGUCAUUGUUGAAACUUGUACUGGAGAGCACCUUUUAAGGGGACAGAUUCAGCAAAAAUUCAAUUAUUCAUUCUUUUGGUGCUGCCAUGUCUACUGCCUCUAUAAACACAGUAAAUGUGAAGAAAACAUUCAUCCAUUUUCUGUCAGUGUUUAAAUUCAGUUUAUUUAUAUAGCGGUAUAUCACAACAACAGUCAUCUCAAGGAACUUCAUAAAGUAAACACUCCAAUGAAGUUUAGUUAAUUAUGCCAAUUAGUAAAAAGUCUCCUAUAUAAGGAACCCAGCAGAUUGCAUCGAGACACUGACUAGUGUCACUGGCGUUACAGCAAUCUUCUGGUUUCCGGAAUAAUGUGCCUAAAAAAAGCUGUUUCAAAAGGUUCCCAAUUGUCAUGAAAUAAGGGAAAUUGGCCCAGCCUUUGGACUGAUUUAUGCACUUGAUCUGAGCUAUCCAAAUGACCUCAAGCACACUUUCGAGUUUUGUCAGAAGAUUUUAAUGAAUCUGGAUGGACAAAGGCUCAGUGCAAAGAUGCAGCAAAUGAAAAUGAAGAUGUUUGCUUAGGCAAACAAGAUGCCAGCACAAAAGUUGAGUUUGACCUUUUUAUCUCUUUUGUUCAAACUGUGACCUUUUUUUUCCUUUCUGUUUUUUUGAAAAAUGGAAGUUGUCUAUUUUUGUCUGCUGUUCUGUUAUGAGUGAUGUAACCUUGAAUCUAUACUACUAUAGAUAGACAAAAGGACUGUGGGAAUUUAGCUCAUAAAAAGUUUAAUGGUUGUAAUCAGCAUCUUCUUUUUAAUUGCUUUUGGGAUUUUCAAAGAGACAAAACAAAUGUUGACAAGUUUGGUAUCUUCCAGUGUUUUAAAGUUGGUGUUCCCGUUCUUAUGCUGAAAACCUACCUGCAAGUGUCACUAUAAAUAUAUAUACAAUGAUUCUUACGUGAAAUCGGAUUUGACAAAUUCCAGUUUGUUUUCAGUCUUGCCUAGUAAUACAAAGGUGUGUGAUAUUUUCAGAUUUGAUAUUCAUUUCAAAUGUAAGGCACUUUUUUGUGAGCACUUUUGUUUUGUUUUGUUAAGGUUAAUUUGACCAUGUGACAUGUAUGUUUAUUCACAAAGUAUUCUUUUUCUGCGUUUAAUUCAAGUGAAUAAAACUGAGUUGAAAAAAACAAAUUCAUUUUGUCAUUAUUUUAAUAAUUAAAUUAGUUUUCUGGUAAUUAAAAUUAUGAUUUAGUUGAACUUAAAAUAAUCAUUUCAAUUCGAAAGAAAAUCUAGCUCAAAUGAAUGACAUUGUAUUGAGUUGAAUCAACCAAAACCUUUUACAUCUUAUUAAUGUUUUUUUUUUCCUUUUAAAUGUAUUUAAAAAAUUGUGUUCUACUGACUCAAUUUAAUUAAAUUGUCAUGAUGUAUGUAGAUUUGGUUGAACCAAAAUAAAUGUAUUACGUGGAAAACCUGCCAUCAAUCAAAUUGAGUUCAUCCAAUGACUAAUUUUUAUGAGUGUAGAAACAAAGAAACAAAGGAGUCAAUUCUAUUCUAACCAGGACCAGGUUUUAUCUAAUAUUUGGGAAGUUGGGAAGGCACAGUAAACAUACCUCCUCUUUCCCAGCAGUCCAAGUAACAGUAAAAAAGGAAAAGCAAAAGGACUGUAGAGGCAUAAAUCAGUAUAAUAAAAACUUGUUAUUACAAGAAUAAAUAGAGUUGCUCUGCAAAUGUAGUUGGAUGGGCUAUUCACCUUUCUUUCUCUCUCUCUCUACUGCUCUCGCUCUCUCCUGUGCUCGCUCUCGGCUGCGUAACUAGGUUAAUUGGGAACCCACCGCCAGUCCAUAUAAAGUUAAUCCGGUGUUCUCCUGGUUCAUUUAUUAUAUAUUUAUUCAGUAGGCUUACCUUUUUCUGGUUUUAUUUUAUUUUAUUCUGGAUUGUUGCUUAUACCCACGGCUCUGUGAUUGGGCUGGAGCAAUCCUCUGCCCGGGUGUCGUCCUGGGAACCUUAAAAUUGCCUCAGUUGGCGAUGUCAGCCUGUGGGGAGCCAGACCGGCUUGUGAUCGAGGCCUGGACAAUUACCACCAGCACGAGUUUUAGUUGACUCGUGGGGCGUAAGCCUUCCAGUGUUUUUUGCGUGUGUGUGUGUGUGUGUGUGUGUGUGUGUGUGUGUGUGUGUGUGUGUGUGCCAACCUGCCUCAUUGUGCAUCCUUGAAUCUGUGCGGCCUCUUUUUAUUCCUUUUAUCUAUUCUUCUAAAAUAUAUAUUUCUUGGGGGUAAAAUUCCCCUAGGUGGCGUUGUCAUUUUAUUAUUAUUUCUUUUAUAACUCCACCGACCACUUGCUCACACUAACAUCUGUUUUUUUUUUUUUUUUUUUUUUUUUUGUUUAUAUUUUAUUGACUGACUUUAAAUGAGCCCACGCCCACUCCAUCCUUCCCAGUAACUCCUCCUAAGGAAACAUUAAAAUAAAGGAGCUGUUCUCAGAGUCAGUGAAUGAACACAUGAACACGACGGUCUAAACAUCUGGAAAGUCCUGGAGGAAGAGAAUGGCUGGACUCAUCUGGAUUCUGCUUUCUGCAUACCUGCUGGGUUGUACCUCUCAGGACCAGAAAAACAUCACAGCUGAGUCUGGACAGGACGUCAUUCUGACAUGUCGAGCUCCAAACUACACCAAUCAAAAUUUCAAGUGGAGCAGAGCUGACCUGGGAGAUGAAUAUGUCCUUUUGUAUCGAGACGAGGUGUUUGUUCCAGAGCACCAGCAUCCAUCUUUUAAGAACCGGGUGGAUCUGCAGGACAAACAGAUGAAGGAUGGAGACGUGUCUCUGAUUCUGAAGGAUGUGACACCUGCUGAUAGUGGAACAUACAAGUGUCAUGUUAACAUGAAAACAAAUCGCAGCAAGAGAGCAAAUCUGGACACUGACCCCAUCAGCAUCAUCACCCUGAGUGUUGAUCCUCCAGGAUCUGUUGGACUGAUCGUUGGUGUGGUAGUUGCUGCUGCCCUCGUUGUCGCUGCUGUUGCUGGAUUUGUGAUCUACAGAAACCAUAAAAAGGCAAAAGAAGUUCUUCUCUUCUCGUCCAAAUAUCUCAGACCGCUUAUCAUUAAACAGUCUCCUGCUGCUGUUCCCACUUCCCAGUGUUAUCAGUGAACAGACACAGCAGGGAACUUCACAAUGAAACUGAUUUGUGAAAUGUCACCGACAGUUAGGUCUUUGUUUAACUGUUGAAAACAGAGAAUUUUGCUGUUUUAUCAUUUAUUAUCCAGUUAUUGCUUCAUCCAGAUCACACCAUAUAAUUCUGAUUCUGAAUCACUUUAACUAAUCUCUCAGCAUUAUAACAAUAUUCUGCUCUUUACACUGGAUGUCUUUGCAGUGUUCACAUAUUCAGCUUAUUUUUAGAACCUGUGCCUGUGCAGAUAUUAUUUAGCAGUGACCUGCAGUUGUUCAGAAGCUCUAACUUGAACAAAAGUUAGAAAAAGUUUUUUUUCAAUGUGAUAGCUGCUGAUUCGAGUCUGAAACUUGAACUUGAUACACUUGAAGCUUUGCUGUCAAACAGCCUGAUGGAGACGACGUGGAAAUCGCUUCAGUUUGUUAACAGAUUAAAGUAAAAUUAAUUAACUCGACUGACUCAACCAUCACUCUUGGUUUGUGUUCAGCAGCAGAAAUGUGAAUUUCAGAGAUCAGAAGAUUAGAAUCAACAAUAAGAACUUUUAUACAUUUUAAUAAUGUAAUGUAAAAUGUAUCUCACCAGUGUAAGCUUUGUUUUGAUACCAAGAUUGUUUACAUGGACUUUUCUUCAUUUAUUUUGGGUUUGUCAUUUUCAAAGAGGAAACUCAAGCGGCCUCGCUGGGCUUAACAGGAUAAACUUUAAUCACUGAACUUUUGGAAUAGGUGUUGGGAUGAAACUCCGUUAAUUAUAUAUGUACCAUGUGUGUUUUGGCAGUGCCAGGAGCUCUGCCAUCUACUGUCAUCUACAAGUAUUGUAUUGUACACAGGUAUGAAUAGACUCAUGAGCCACAAAAGAUUGAAAUGCAACCUGAUCGACAUUAUUAAUUUAAGGAAAAUAUGAAUCUAAUGAGGACUUAUGAACAACUGCUGUAGUCUGAUCCUGUGACGUGUCUCUUUCAUUGCUUGUUAUUUAGUAAAAAAAAAUGCUUGCAUGUAAAACUCAUAAUCACAAUAAAAGAAUAAAAGCAGAAAUGUGAAAAUCAUCUUCAUCACUGUUGUUUC